rnacentral:rRNA from 1 species
UGAUGGGGAAGCUCCUUAUGGAGCGAAGUCUUUGAUUCCCCGCUGCCAAGAAAAGCUUCUAGCGAGAUAAAAGGUGCCUGUACCGCAAACCGACACAGGUAGGCGAGGAGAGAAUCCUAAGGUGUGCGAGAGAACUCUGGUUAAGGAACUCGGCAAAAUGACCCCGUAACUUCGGGAGAAGGGGUGCUUUCUUAACGGAAAGCCGCAGUGAAUAGGCCCAAGCGACUGUUUAGCAAAAACACAGCUCUCUGCGAAGCCGUAAGGCGAAGUAUAGGGGGUGACACCUGCCCGGUGCUGGAAGGUUAAGGAGAGGGGUUAGCGUAAGCGAAGCUCUGAACUGAAGCCCCAGUAAACGGCGGCCGUAACUAUAACGGUCCUAAGGUAGCGAAAUUCCUUGUCGGGUAAGUUCCGACCCGCACGAAAGGUGUAACGAUUUGGGCACUGUCUCAACCAGAGACUCGGUGAAAUUAUAGUACCUGUGAAGAUGCAGGUUACCCGCGACAGGACGGAAAGACCCCGUGGAGCUUUACUGUAGCCUGAUAUUGAAUUUUGGUACAGUUUGUACAGGAUAGGCGGGAGCCUUUGAAACCGGAGCGCUAGCUUCGGUGGAGGCGCUGGUGGGAUACCGCCCUGACUGUAUUGAAAUUCUAACCUACGGGUCUUAUCGACCCGGGAGACAGUGUCAGGUGGGCAGUUUGACUGGGGCGGUCGCCUCCUAAAGUGUAACGGAGGCGCCCAAAGGUUCCCUCAGAAUGGUUGGAAAUCAUUCGUAGAGUGCAAAGGCAUAAGGGAGCUUGACUGCGAGACCUACAAGUCGAGCAGGGACGAAAGUCGGGCUUAGUGAUCCGGUGGUUCCGCAUGGAAGGGCCAUCGCUCAACGGAUAAAAGCUACCCCGGGGAUAACAGGCUUAUCUCCCCCAAGAGUCCACAUCGACGGGGAGGUUUGGCACCUCGAUGUCGGCUCAUCGCAUCCUGGGGCUGUAGUCGGUCCCAAGGGUUGGGCUGUUCGCCCAUUAAAGCGGUACGCGAGCUGGGUUCAGAACGUCGUGAGACAGUUCGGUCCCUAUCCGUCGUGGGCGUAGGAAAUUUGAGAGGAGCUGUCCUUAGUACGAGAGGACCGGGAUGGACGCACCGCUGGUGUACCAGUUGUUCUGCCAAGGGCAUAGCUGGGUAGCUAUGUGCGGAAGGGAUAAGUGCUGAAAGCAUCUAAGCAUGAAGCCCCCCUCAAGAUGAGAUUUCCCAUAGCGUAAGCUAGUAAGAUCCCUGAAAGAUGAUCAGGUUGAUAGGUUCGAGGUGGAAGCAUGGUGACAUGUGGAGCUGACGAAUACUAAUAGAUCGAGGACUUAACCAU